rnacentral:misc_RNA from 1 species
UUGACAAUUGUCUGUUUGCUCAGAGGUACACUGAAUGAUAGGAUUUUUGGUCUCUGGCAGGCAUCCUUUCGGACCGGAGACCCCCCCUGGGGCCGCCUGCCAAAGCAACAAAGAUAGAUAGACACGGGAUGGAGUUUUGACACUCUGUAAUGAUCCCUCCGCUGGUUCACCAACGGAGA